rnacentral:rRNA from 1 species
AGAACGAACGCUGGCGGCAGGCCUCAAACAUGCAAGUCUAGGGGGCGUAGCAAUACGUCACCGGCGGACGGGUGCGUAACACGUGGGAAUGUACUUAUUGGUUCGGAACAACUCAGGGAAACUUGAGCUAAUACCGAAUGUGCCCGAAAGGGGAAAGAUUUAUCGCCAGUAAAUCAGCCCGCGUCCGAUUAGCUAGUUGGUGGGGUAAAGGCUCACCAAGGCAACGAUCGGUAGCUGUUCUGAGAGGAAGAUCAGCCACACUGGGACUGAGACACGGCCCAGACUCCUACGGGAGGCAGCAGUUGGGAAUCUUGGACAAUGGGGGAAACCCUGAUCCAGCCAUGCCGCGUGAGUGAUGAAGGCCUUCGGUUGUAAACUCUUCGACGGGACGAUAAUGACGGUACCGUAGAAGAAGCUCCGGCUAACUUCGCGCCAGCAGCCGC